rnacentral:rRNA from 1 species
UGGGGAAUCUUCCGCAAUGGACGAAAGUCUGACGGAGCAACGCCGCGUGAGUGAAGAAGGUUUUCGGAUCGUAAAACUCUGUCUUUUGGGGCGAACGUGAGUAUGGUAAAUAAUCAUAGUCAAUGACGGUACCAAAGGAGGAAGCCACGGCUAACUACGUGCCAGCAGCCGCGGUAAUACGUAGGUGGCAAGCGUUGUCCGGAAUUAUUGGGCGUAAAAGAGCGCGUAGGCGGGAUAGUCAGUCUGUUGUAAAAGUGCGGGGCUCAACCCCGUGAUCGCAAUGGAAACAGCUAUUCUUGAGUGCAGGAGAGGAAAGUGGAAUUCCCAGUGUAGCGGUGAAAUGCGUAGAUAUUGGGAGGAACACCAGUGGCGAAGGCGACUUUCUGGACUGUGUCUGACGCUGAGGCGCGAAAGCCAGGGGGAGCGAACGGGGAUUAGAUACCCCCGGUAGUCCUGGCCGUAAAACGAUGGGUACUAGGUGUGGGGGGUAUCGACCCCUUCCGUGCCGGAGUUAACGCAAUAAGUACCCCCGCCUGGGGGAGUACGGUCGCAAGACUGAAACUCAAAUGAAUUGACGGGGGUCAUAGCUGUUUCCUG